GAUGAACGCUGGCGGCGUGCCUAACACAUGCAAGUCGAGCGGACAGACGAUGAGCUUGCUGCGUUCACGUUUGCCGCAGGCGGGUGUGUAACGCGUGGAUCACCCACCUAUAAUACUGGGAAAACUUCGGGAAUCCGGAGAUAAUCCCGUAUAAUAUAUUGAACCGCAUUGGGCAAUAGUGAGAUACGGUGUUUCUGUAACGUAUAGAUGGAUCCGGGCCGCAUUAGCUGGUUGGUGGGUUAACGGCUUACCAAGGCUACGAUGCGUAACCGACCGGAGAGGGUGAUCGGCCACAUGGGAACUGAGACACGGUCCAGACUCCUACGGGAGGCAGCAGUAGGGAAUCUUCCGCAAUGGGCGAAAGCCUGACGGAGCAAGGCCGCGUGAGUGAUGAAGGUCUUCGGAGCGUAAAACUCUGUUAUUAGGGAAGAACCAAUGUGUAAGUAACUAUGGCCGUAUUGACGGUACCUGGUCAGAAAGCCCCGGCUAACUACGUG
rnacentral:rRNA from 1 species